UUACUUUCCCCCAAUGAAACAGCAACCCACUCUUACUCUAAAAGUCUAAACCAAAUCCAAAACAGCCAGCAACCAAAAUGAAGAAUCAAACCCUAAAAAUCGAACUCAUUUCUCUACUACCCUACUACGAUUUGUACAUCGAUUUGGAAAAUUAGGGCUUCGAUACGAGUUCUUCAGGUUCAUUUCGCCUUGUUUCGAGUAAUUGAGCAGCAGUGACACGGAGAGUUCCGAGCCUCCUGACCUUGAGAGGCAGCAGCAGCGUGACGGCGGCGCUGAGGUGGUUACCUCAAUUCCCGAUUCUUCUGGCGUUGAGAUGCAGUGUCGCCGCUGCUGAACGUCAUCAUUUCCAGAACCACAGGCUCCCUCCGCCGCAUCCAUCGCUAAUUCGUCCAAGGAGGCAUAAUAGAAGAGGGGUACAUCUUUGGUGAAGAGAGGGAGAGAGAGGCAUCAUAACCCGGAGCCAUUUCGGGCCGACGACGAUGGCGCCUCCAAGAAGCGAACCAAGUCAUUGGGCUGAAAUUAAGCUUAGACGGAAGCGAAUUAGAAAUCAUGUUUCAGCUAUGCUCUAGCAAGAGUGCCAUGUUCUCUUCAGCACAGGCCCUGUCUCUGAUGCCCAGAUGAUGGGAAAGAGUAAGGGAAUGAGAAUCACAUGCCAGGCCGCAAUUCCAGCUGAUAAUGUCCCUGACAUGGGUAAGAGGAAGCUUAUGAAUCUGCUUCUUCUAACGAAUCUCACUUCCCUCUGGUUUCCUAUGCCACUUUCUUUGCUCCAACUGGCUUUGAUGUUGGAAGUGGUGGUCAAGUUGCCAAAGAUGCUCUACGAAACGAUGUAAUUGCAGCAGAAUGGCUUAAGAGUUAAGAACCAUGGCCCUGGUGACAAGGAUUGAAGUGUGGCUUGAUGGAUGAUGGAGUGAAACUUUCUCUACUGGGUUCAUGGAUGGCCUUGUUUGUAUUAUUUGCUGGAAGGAAGUUCUCACAACCAAUUAAGAUUUUGGAGCUGCAAUAUCUGGUGCAAACAAAUUGCAGUGCCAGCAAGUGCUUAAAGAGCUAGAAGCAAGUAUCGAUCAAUCUUGCUGAGGGUUUCUAUAUUAGUCAUAAUUGCACUUACUUUUGAUUAGUAUAUAUUUAUUGGAUUUGAUCAUCUGCUACAAGCUUGGCCAAGUGGUUGAGACUUGCUGUGAAUAUAUGGGGACAACAUCAUUGCUGGUAAUAAGGCGGAAGUCUGGGGCACAAGUUCUUCUUAUUGUCGAGGACUAGUGAGCUCACUCUCUGUUUUGAAGGUCUAAUGCUCAUCUUUUGCAUACUUUGUAGAAAGUAUUCCUUAAGAUGAUAAGAGGAUUUGUUCGCAUAGCCAUGGAGAAUGGCUAUCCCCUAGUUUCAGUUUUCUGCUUUGAUCAGUCAAAUGUUUAUAAGUGGUGUAAGCCAAGUGGGGAGUUAUUCCUGAAGUUUGCUAGAGCUAUCAGAUUCACCCUUAUUGCCUUCCGGGGAAUGUUUGGACUUGCAGAUAUAUGGGUACAGAAUGAAGUCAAUACUAGAGCUUGUUGAAGAAUGUGAGCACUGUGGGCAUUUAGGACUUGUUGAAGAAUGUUUCAAUCAGCCAGAGUCUUGAAUGUGUUCAAAGGCAACAAAGGCAACUGUCCUUGGCAUCCAAGUUGGGUGUGGAUUCAGGCCUAAGAUUCCAUGUAGGAGAUGAAUCUAGAGCUAAUGCUGCACAAGAUAAUGAACUUUUCCAUCAGAAUCCUCAAGCAUAUACUGCACAAGAUGGAAAUUGGAUUGCUCGUAUUGCAGCAUUCCUUGUGGGUGAGGAUCGAACACAAUCUCGUAUAGCUUAUGAAAUUGGAAGGCUUAGUUCAAUGAAAUGUUUAAAUGCUUAUAAAAUUGUUUAUAGUGAAUCGAUUGGAGUUUGUUUUGAUGUAUCAAAGUUACUUUUAGCAUUAAUAUAAAAUUAUUGUUCAUUGGUAAUUAUCUC